AUACACAAGCGGUCAGCUGAGAAAUUACUCGUCUUCCGACAGGGAUAUAUCAUUGGCUGGUUAGCUACACGGGGUUAGAGGCAGUGGAAAUGGAGAUGUUUGUGUAAAAACGACCCCAACGAAGAGACUGUACGCUUUUUCAUAGAUGAUUGAGCGAAAAUUAUGGUCAAAAUUUUCCUGAUGAAAAUCUCGCACUGCUAUGAUUGCCGUAAAUACGAACCCUCAUUUCAUUCUCCUCCUGACGUAUGGGAUCACAUAUAACACACAAACAAUUACACUUCUCGUCAGGUUAUCGUUGGGGUCCAUUGUAUAACGUUGUUGACGAAGA